rnacentral:rRNA from 1 species
UACGUAGGGUGCGAGCGUGUCCGGAUUUAUUGGGCGUAAAGAGCUCGUAGGCGGUUUGUCGCGUCGGCCGUGAAAUCUCCACGCUUAACGUGGAGCGUGCGGUCGAUACGGGCAGACUUGAGUUCGGUAGGGGAGACUGGAAUUCCUGGUGUAGCGGUGGAAAUGCGCAGAUAUCAGGAGGAACACCCGGUGGGCGAAGGCGGGUCUCUGGGCC